rfam:Salmo salar isolate Sally breed double haploid chromosome ssa22, whole genome shotgun sequence.
UCCCAUGUGGCUCAGUUGGUAGAGCAUGGUGUUUGCUAUGCCAGGGUUGUGGGUUCAAUUCCCAUGGGGGAC